rnacentral:lncRNA from 1 species
GGCUUCCACUUCUGGGUCACUUCAGUCCAUAACUGAAGGACAUCAGGGCAAGAACUCAGGACCUGAAGCCGAAACCACAGAGGACUGCUGCUCACUGGCUCAUGCUCGGCUUUCAUGUACAGCCCAGGCCCCUGUGCCUAGGAAUGGUGCCAUUGACAGUGGACUGAGCCCCCUCACACAAUCAACAACCAAAUGGUGUGUACUAGAUAUGGCCAAGGGUCACCGUGCUCAGCGCCAUCCCUCAGUUGACAUUCCCUCUCCUCAGCUUCAUAUUGUCAGGUGAAGAU